GGACACGUGUACGGCUCUAUCGCUCACCGCUCGUGUUCUUACUUAUAAUCGGCGGGACAGAGGAGCAGGAACAUUGAGAAACCAGAGUAGUUUUCUUCAUUCUAUACUCCAAUAUUAUCAGUCAUCCGUGUUCAGUUUGGUGACAUGUGGCAGUUAUUGAAGUCUCUUCAUUAUCGACAACCUCGACCAGCUAUCCGUGUUCCUCGACAGGUCUCUCACUUUGUCUCCUCCUUGUUGCAAUCAUGAAAAAGGAGCUGCUGAUCUGUUUCUUUUCAGAAUCGGUCUUCCUGCUUCCAUGGGUGGAUUCCAUCGAUAUCGUUCCGAGCUUGAUGCAAUGGAGGCUAAGCUUGCUUCAUGGUCGUUUGCUUUUGUUUUUGUAACUUUUUCAAAUGUAUCGCAGUGUCAGCUAUCACUCUUGCAUUUGAGCUUUACUGGGGGGAGCCCAUGCGAGAAGGGGAGGCGGGCUUGGUUUUAUUUUUUCACAUCUAAACCCAGCAUUCAAGUGUUGAUUCUUUUGUGGGUGAAUCAGCUUCAUGGACAUUUUCCCUAACCCUAUUGCAUACUAGAUGCCUGGAGAAGUUGAGGAAAGAGGUGAAUGACCAUUGGUGUUGUGAACCUGGUUUAACGCAUCUGGAAAUGGUUAGUAGAGAAUACCAUAUCUGGAAAUGGUACGUGUUUCUGAUUAAUGAUAAACUUUUCAGUGAUCAGUUUAUGCACCAUCUUUGGAUCAUGGUGUUGGAGAUCCAGAAGAUGGAUAUCUUUGUGAGCCUGCAGCAUAUAAAGUGGCCAUAGUUGAAGGAAAUUAUCUAUUGUUGGAAGAUGGGGCUUGGAAGGAUGUGUCUUCAAUGUUCGAUGAGAAAUUAAGUGUUAUGUUCUUGCUAGGCUAGGACGUGUCUUCAAUGUUUGAUGAGAAAUGGUAAGUGUUAUGUUCUUGCUAGGUUAUUUUCCUUCUCUAUUUUGUCGUGGAGCAGAUAUAUAUGCUGAGUAUUCAUGCCAAAUUUUUUUCAUUAGUGUUAUUUUCCCUAGUUUUUAUACGUCUGACAGGGCUGGCAUGUAGCAAUAAUGUUGAGAGCUGUAUCAUGCUUAAGGGCAACUUUGCAUUCUUAAGUUCUGCUUCCGAGAGCUUUUCUCACGUGGUUCAAAUCAGUGUUUCAAAAUAUGUUUUAUGAAUGUCCUCCCUUGGCACGAGACAGAAUUUCAGGGUCACUUUGAACCUUGUAUCUUUACAUUGGAUUAUCCUCUCAUGAUGCUGUCCAUGCCAGAAUAUGGAAUCAAAAGCACAAGAAAAAUGAAGAUUAAGUCUGGAAGUUAGAUGUAUAACGAUACACACUGUUGGGAUGCAACAUGGUCUUUAGAUCACAAUGUGUUGCAAACCUGCAGUCCAUUUCAGUUAACAUCAUCUUGGGUUCGUGCUACUGUUUGGAUUAGUAACUGCUGUUUCCCUUGCUUUGCUAAUUUAUGAAACCAGACGUGAGGAAUUGGCACUUAAUUCUUACAGAUAGGACAACGAGCAGCGUAAUGCAGAGCUGAUUAUCAAGUCAAAGAAAAAUGCAGAUUUAGUAAUCAGGUCUAUCAAUUUCUAGAAUUGAUGUGAUGAAUUAAUGGAGAAAGAGAAAUGAGAUCACAUUUUCCUGUUAGGCGUUAACUUAAUGGAAACUGAAAAAAUGAAUAAAUAAUGAAGGAUAUGGCUUCUUCUUUUUUCUCCUUGCUUCUAACAUUUUCAUUCACAUGUUCAUUUGUUACUUCAAGAUUCAGACUAACCAAGUUAUUCAAAAUGCAGUUUUUUAUAGAAGCAAGUUAAUGCCUGGUUCCCUUUAUAGUUUGUACAGAGAGAAGUCAAUAGACUGUAAAACCUGAUUCCUUUGGGCACCUAACACGGGAAAUUGUGAUCUGAUUAAUUGAUUUGUGGCACAUAGUUGGAAACUACUUUAGUUGCUUGUUUAGCAUAAUAGCAUCUCACUGACCAAGUAAAUAAUUGCUGUACAAAGAGAUGCCUUGAUUGUUUUACAGAUAAUGCGUUGCAAAAUGUUUC